CACAGGGCACCCUCACAGCUGUGCUGGGUGCAAGUCAAUCAGGAGAUUGUUUCUGUCCAUCCUGGCUGCCCUGUGAGCCACAGCCCCUUCUCCCCAGGUUAUGGCAUCCAAGGACAAUUCAAAACCAGUGUUAAACAGGUUCUUUUCUGAGUAAAUCUCAGUCUUAGGAGCCUGAAGCAUAAUGGAGCAGCAAAGCAAUUAUUUUUUCCUUCAAAUGCUAAUCUUCCUUAGCUUCUGGCCAUCCUUUUGCUGAUUCUCAGAAAAGGUGAUUUGUAGGUGUUUAUUGCUGGAAUUUUAAGUGAUUUAAAAUGAAUGCUUCAAUGUAGUAUGCCUUUCAGAACUAAAUUAUUCAUCUUAAUACAUUACUAAUUCUCUAAGCAGUGAAUACUUUUAAAAGACUCUUAUAAUUUAUUAGCACACUUCAUAUCUUAUAGUUUAUACCGAAAUGCCAAUUAACCCAUACAAUGUGCAGUCAAGACAGAUGAGGAUUAAGUCCCUACAGCCAUGGGAACAGCAGAGAUGCAAUGACCUGAAAAUUGCAUCCUUAGCUCUUUUGCCUGUGAUUAACAUAAAUUCACCAGUGGCCUUUCCUCUUUUUAUUAAUCCCUUAUCUCCAGUCCUGGAUCUCUGUUGCUCAAGCAAUUAGGACACAUAGCUUAUGCUUUCUUGAAUCUUUCAGAUCUGACUUCAGACUUGCAAGGGCUGCCUGACCAGGCUUGAUAAUCGGGGCGGCAUGGAGGAUGGGAUGUUACCAUCUUGCCUAUGUGCAAUACAUUUCCAGUUAUGCAGAAAAUGCCAAGACAUGUAAUCAGCCACCUCCCCAACUCAUAUGUCUUCUGCAUUUGUCUUCAUUGCACAUUUCUGAAUAUGCAUUGUCUUUUCUUCUUUAGUCAGUGUCAGCCCUCCCACACUUUGUUUUGUUCUUUGCUGCCUGCUGGCCCACAAGUAUGAGAUGCAGUGAGGAACUGUGGAGGACACCCUGUCGUGUGUGGAGCAGAAGCUGCGAAGGAAAGACUUGUGGCCUCAUCUGCAGUAACAGAGGCUCGGUUCAGGAUAGGAUAACCACAACAUUUUAAUAGGGAACAGAAAUUAUUUAUUCAAUGCUGUCUCCCUCAUUUCCCUCGCACAUAGGGAAGGCAUACGCAGCUGUCUCUGGAGCCAAGCAGAUGAGCAGAGCUGCAGAUGCAUGUGGUUACCUGACUAGGAAGAUAUUUGAAAUGGCGCAAGUCUUGACAUGGCUACCAGCAUCACUGCACAACUCAGGACUAUCAGAGAAAAAGGGAUGCCCAACAGAAGCUUUGAGAGACUUCGGAGCCAGCAUUAGGUGUCUGUGGUGAAUAUUGUGAGUAACGCAGCAUUCAGGUAACUGUUACACGUGAUGGAGCCAGGCUUUCCUGGAGAUGGCUGAACACCUGCCUGUCCAUGGGAAGUGGUGAAUGAAUUCCUUGUUUUGCUUUGUUUGCAUGUGCAGCUUUUGCUUUACCUAUUAAACUGCUUUCAUCUCAACAGCCCAUGAGUUUUCUCACUUUUACUCCUCUUACUCUCUUCCCCAUCCCACUGCAGAGGGAGGAGUGAGCAAAUGCGAGGUGCUUAGUUGCUGG